GGUCAGCAAGCAGCCCAGUGCCUGUUUGUUAGCGUGUAGGCUAGUUUGUGCUCUGUUGGAUGACUUAGCCUGCAGCUCUCUAAAGGGACGUCGAAAUCUCCCAACCAUAUACCUGCUUUAAUGCUGUCUGACAUGCCUGGGCCUCAAAGAACGAGCCUGCAGCUCAGGCUCCUUCGCUGAUUGGCUGAAUAACCUCACUACAAGGAAAGUGUAAGUGAGAAAUCUGUCAGGUUAAUGCUGUUUGGUGUCUCUUGUAAUUUCAGACAUAUAACAAUGACUUAAUCAGCAUUUAUGGAGAGGAACCGCAUCUGUGCUGAAUGGGACCUGUACAUUGUUAUGAAAAACAGAUGCAUUUAUGGCCACAGGGAGUUUCUCUCUCUCUCUCUCUCUCUCUCUCGCGGCAAGAUCUUAAGCAGAGAAAAGUGAAAGGUGGAGAAUUGGUGGAGGCGAACGGAGGUGAGCUAAUGGAUCAAAAUUACCCCCGUCUGAAAGUUUUGACGAACGCUGACGAAAUUGCUUUUCUUCCCCUCUCUCCCCACCCCCCACCCCUUCUCAAUAGGAGACGCAGACAGAGAAAUCCAUCUGUAACACAGGCAUUGUCAUCGCCUUGCAAUUUACACCCAUUCCUCUCAACAGUGGUUCUUGUGCUUGAUGGCGUGAUAAAUUAAUCUUUUUCUGUGCCACUGCGUCGAUUCUUUUAAAAGAAUACAUUAAGGGGCGUUAGAGACUUUUUUUUCUCCCGGAGUAAACAUUUUUUCUUUCUUUCUCUCUCUCAGUCACCAUGACAAAUCAUAUUCUCUGGAGAUGAAGAGAAAAGGCCAUGGAAAUAGGAAAAAUGAGAGAAGGAUGGAGGAACGGAGAGGCAGAAAGCCAUUUUGGAAAGCCGUCGUGCUAGCCGGAUCAGUCUGAGCGCUGCUUUGACAGAGUGCUCCGUGGAAACCAUCACACACACUGCCGAUGAUAGUUGUGGUUGUUGUUGAAGAAUUAAGUAUGACCUUCACUCUAAUCGUGUUAGACAUUGGAAGGAAAGCGUCUAAUCAUCAAUCACUCAGCAGUCAGCAGAGUGGAAAGAUCACCCAACUCAAACACAGCGGGGACAAACAACAGCAUGCGGGGCUGUGACUAUACCGGCCCACCUUUACCAUUACCGCCAGGGCUGUCCUUCGCUUAUAAUCUCCAAGCUAGUGCUGCUGUUUUAAUGGCCUCUACUGUGUGUGGCAAGAAAGUUUCUCAGCUGAAGCCAGUCAGAUUAGGUGGACACCAACCCUGUUUGCGCAUCAUGGGCUCCUACAUGAACAAAACUAUGCAAGGACAGUUCAAGGCAACACAGGAAGAGAUAGGACAGAGGGAAGAGAGGGGAAGGAGAUCAGGAAAGGACCUUGGGAUGGUACUUAAAGUCAGGUUGUGCUACAGUAUACACUACCGUUCAAAAUCCUGGGGUCGGUAAGUUGUUUUAAUGUUGAAAUAAGCCUCUUAUGCUUACCAUGACUACAUUUAUUUGAUCAAAAUUACAGUAAAAUAUUGUUUAAAUAUACUAUAUAUUUAGAAUAACUUUUCUAUGUGAAUGUAUUUUAAAAUGUAAAUUAUUCCUGUGACAUUUCUUAUUAUUAUCAAUGUUGAAAACAGUUGUGCUGCUCAAUAUUUUUGUGGAAACCGUGAUUUUUUUCUUUUUUUUUUUUUCUUUCAGUAUUCAAAUGGCCACGUACACACUAAAGGAGUGACACCGCAUUUAAAUGCCCCUAAAUUAUCGUUCCGUGUAUGCAUGGAAGACAACUUUAAUUAAAGGCGUUUUGCGUGUUUGGUAUCCGCUAUUCUGACCAAAGAAAUAUUACAGCCACGAAAGACUUGUUAUGUUCAGCAAUUUUAACUAAAGCACAGUCGACAGAGGCGUCGUGUUUUGCUUAUGCUUGGAAAGUCUGCUUCACAGAUCGUGCUCUUGCUGUGUUGCCAUGUUUACUAAUUAUAAGCCUUUUUGGGCUUGUUGUUUAAGCUUGGCUUGGUAAGUUUACAGAUUUAUUAAAGUGAGCAGGUGCGGGUCACGAUUUUUUGGUUUAUUGGUUUUUUGGUUUAUUAUUUCAGUUUAUUGUGGGCUUGUUCUUGUUCGCUGUUCUUUUAGCAAGAUCUGGCAACACGUAUACGUCCAGACUCGUACCACUUUCCCUGUGAUUUCCUGCACUGCACAGAAAGAAGAGAGAAACAUUUCUGAUGCACACUAAAAUAUGUCAUAAACAGUUUUUCAGUUUGUUUCCGUACACAUUACAUAGAAUUUUGGUAAAUGCGAUUGUCACCACCUGCAUUUUUCGGGAGUUAAUUCAGUUGUAGAAAGCAGUUGUCACUCCCUUAAAUUACUGAACUGUGUGUCUACAGAACAGGAUUAGGCAGUAAAAGUUGAACUGACAACCAAAUUUAGUUGCAGUAUGUACGUGGCCAUGAAUAGAAAGUUCAAAAGCAUUUAUACAUGUCUUUACUGUCACUUUUGAUCAAUUUAAUGCAUCCUAUCCGAUUUCUUAAUUUCUUGAAAAGAAAAAAUCUCAUUAACACCAAACAUUUGAACGGUACUGUAUAUAUCAUAGUGCUGCACACAAGGCAGUGAAUUGUUUGUUGCUGAAGCAUGAAGCCAUCGCAGUUCAAGAGACAUUUAUAAUUCAAUUGUCAAUUGUCAAUUUUUUUUUUUAAAUAUUGUUUUUACUUUUGUAUGAUAAACAAUUUUGGUACUAUUGUACCAAAUAUCCAAUAUAAAACCAGAACCACUGUGCAGCCUGGUGUGCAGUAAGAAUUGGG